UGUAUCCGUUGCAAUGUUGCCACGAAUUCUGCGACGACCGGGAAUAAUCCUAUGUUUAGGGUUGCCGUGUGCGAAGGCUGGGUGGCAAGGGUUUUGUUGACGUGUCCGAAGGAAGGCCGGUGCGAAGGGUCUCUCUCCGGUGGUUGUAGAUCCGGCGGCUCGGGUGCGAAGGAAGGUUGGGUGCCAAGGGUAUUUAUCUUUCUCUCUUCGGUGGUUGUAGAUCCGGCGGCUCGGGUGCGAAGGAAGGUUGGGUGCCAAGGGUAUUUAUCUUUCUCUCUCCGGUGGUUGUAGAUCCGGCGGCUCGGGUGCGAAGGAAGGUUGGGUGCCAAGGGUUCCUUAUGUAGAGGAUCCAAAUACUCCGGAAGAAACGUUUUUGUAAGUUUUUCAGGUUUUCUUCUAUCUAUUUAUAAAUGACUUUCCUUCUUUUCAAGGCAACGACUGGACUCAUGCUGAUUUGGUGCAGUAGAUUUUGAUAAAAGUAGGUAUGCAGUCAUUAAUUAGUGAUUAACUUAUAUAAUUAUCAUAAUUAACUAAUUAAUUAAUUAGUUGAGAAA